rnacentral:lncRNA from 1 species
CUCCCUUUAUGUGUGACCCCAUAUAUUCAAUUUUAUCUGGUAAUGAGCAUACCAUGAUUUUUAUCAUAGGUAUCACUAAAACCCCUUUCAAUGAGUUGAAACAGUUUCACUCUAAGUCGACAAGGAUCAUUAAUUCAAAACGAUCCUAUUGAGCUCUCACAAUCUACCAGUGAUAUCUAGCAAUAUGUAGUGAUAACUCAGCAAAACUAAAAUAAAAUCUCUAAGUAUAGUUAAUGUAUGAUAUAGUCCCUCUAUUGUGAGUCC